AGGACGAACGCUGGCGGCGUGCUUAACACAUGCAAGUCGAGCGGUAAGGCCCUUCGGGGUACACGAGCGGCGAACGGGUGAGUAACACGUGGGUGACCUGCCCUCAGCUCUGGGAUAAGCCCGGGAAACUGGGUCUAAUACCGGAUAUGACCACAGAUCGCAUGGUGUGUGGUGGAAAGUUUUUCGGCUGGGGAUGGGCCCGCGGCCUAUCAGCUUGUUGGUGGGGUGAUGGCCUACCAAGGCGACGACGGGUA
rnacentral:rRNA from 1 species